rnacentral:rRNA from 1 species
ACGAACGCUGGCGGCGUGCUUCACACAUGCCAGUCGAACGGAAAGGCCCUGCUUUUGUGGGGUGCUCGAGUGGCGAACGGGUGAGUAACACGUGAGUAACCUGCCCUUGACUUUGGGAUAACUUCAGGAAACUGGGGCUAAUACCGGAUAGGAGCUCCUGCUGCAUGGUGGGGGUUGGAAAGUUUCGGCGGUUGGGGAUGGACUCGCGGCUUAUCAGCUUGUUGGUGGGGUAGUGGCUUACCAAGGCUUUGACGGGUAGCCGGCCUGAGAGGGUGACCGGCCACAUUGGGACUGAGAUACGGCCCAGACUCCUACGGGAGGCAGCAGUGGGGAAUAUUGCACAAUGGGCGGAAGCCUGAUGCAGCAACGCCGCGUGCGGGAUGACGGCCUUCGGGUUGUAAACCGCUUUCGCCUGUGGCGAAGCGUGAGUGACGGUAAUGGGUAAAGAAGCACCGGCUAACUACGUG